GAUCGCGGUUCCAGAGAUGGUUCCUUCAGUUCGGCUGGAUCGCACACAGGUGCUGCAUGGCUGUCGUCAGCUCGUGUCGUGAGAUGUUCGGUUAAGUCCGGCAACGAGCGCAACCCACACUCUUAGUUGCCAGCAUUCAGUUGGGCACUCUAGGAGAACUGCCGAUGAUAAGUCGGAGGAAGGUGUGGAUGACGUCAAGUCCUCAUGGCCCUUACGGGUUGGGCUACACACGUGCUACAAUGGUGGUGACAAUGGGUUAAUCCCUAAAAGCCAUCUCAGUUCGGAUUGGGGUCUGCAACUCGACCCCAUGAAGUCGGAAUCGCUAGUAAUCGCGUAACAGCAUGACGCGGUGAAUACGUUCCCGGGCCUUGUACACACCGCCCGUCACACCAUGGGAGUUGGGUUUACCCGAAGUUGGUGCGCCAACCUGUAAAGGAGGCAGCCAACCACGGUAGGCUCAGCGACUGGGGUGAAGUCGUAA
rnacentral:rRNA from 1 species